rnacentral:rRNA from 1 species
UACGAAGGGGGCUAGCGUUGCUCGGAAUCACUGGGCGUAAAGCGCACGUAGGCGGAUUGUUAAGUCAGGGGUGAAAUCCUGGAGCUCAACUCCAGAACUGCCUUUGAUACUGGCGAUCUCGAGUCCGGGAGAGGUGAGUGGAACUGCGAGUGUAGAGGUGAAAUUCGUAGAUAUUCGCAAGAACACCAGUGGCGAAGGCGG